CACAGACUCAAAUAUAAUUCAUAGAUAAUCUGAUCACAAAUUCAUAAUUCAUCGGAUCUCGACAAACACACCGCCAAGAGGAUUACAUCGGAUAGAUCUCCAUGAAGAUCAUGGACAACUUUGUAUUGAAGAUCCAAGAGAGAGAAGAAGUCACCUAGCUACUAACUACGGACCCAUAGGUCUGAAGUGGACUACUCACGAGUCAUUGGAGAGGCAAUGAUGUUGAUGUAGAAGCCCUCCAGCUCCAAAGUCCCCUCCGACAGGGCACCGAGAAGGGUCUCCAGAUGAGAUCUCGCGGAAACGGAAGCUUGCGGCGGCGGAAAAGUGGUUUCGUGGAUGCCCUGAAUUUUUCUGGGAUUUUAGGGAA
rnacentral:lncRNA from 1 species